AUUGAACGCUGGCGGCAGGCUUAACACAUGCAAGUCGAGCGGGGGAGGUUGCUUCGGUAACUGACCUAGCGGCGGACGGGUGAGUAAUGCUUAGGAAUCUGCCUAUUAGUGGGGGACAACAUUCCGAAAGGAAUGCUAAUACCGAAUACGACCUCCGGGGGAAAGCAGGGGAUCCUCGGAGCUCGCGCUAGUAGAUGAGCCUAAGUCGGAGUAGCAAGUUGUUGGGGUAAAGGCCUACCAAGGCGACGAUCUGUAGCGGGUCUGAGAGGAUGAUCCGCCACACUGGGACUGAGACACGGCCCAGACUCCUACGGGAGGCAGCGGUGGGGAAUAUUGGACAAUGGGCGGAAGCCUGAUCCAGCCAUGCCGCGUGUGUGAAGAAGGCCUUUUGGUUGUAAAGCACUUUAAGCGAGGAGGAGGCUCUUAAGGUUAAUACCCUUGAUGAGUGGACGUUACUCGCAGAAUAAGCACCGGCUAACUCUGUGCCAGCAGCCGCAGUAAAAC
rnacentral:rRNA from 1 species